rnacentral:lncRNA from 1 species
UAAGAGCUGUGCUCCUAAUGAGGAGCAUGUGAGAGACAGGCUGGGUAGCUACUGGUGUCUGCUCUUUCUCUAUGCCUGGCCCCUUCUUCAGAGCUUGAAUAACUUCCCCUCUUCCCCCGAGAGAAGCUCUUCAGAAAAUGUCAUGCCAGGGUGCUGUGUUUAUUGACUUUCAGAAUUAAAUUGCUCUAUGUACCAGCAGAGAUAUUUUUCCCCUAACUGCUGACUCCAUGGAUUCUCUCUGGGCAUUGAUGAAUGUGGUGUGCAAACACCGUAGCUGCUGUGGCCAGCCUCUCUGGAAGAAUUAAGAGUGUAUUCCUGCUGUUCAAACUGCUAAACCAAGAAGCUGCAAAUGAGAUUACAUGCUGA